rnacentral:tRNA from 1 species
AUUUCCUCUAACUCCCGUCUUGAAAACAGGAUCUAGAUCAUUUCUAGGAAAUU